rnacentral:rRNA from 1 species
CGGUGGCUACCAUGCAGUCGAACGGCAGCACAGGAGAGCUUGCUCUCUGGGUGGCGAGUGGCGGACGGGUGAGGAAUACAUCGGAAUCUACUCUGUCGUGGGGGAUAACGUAGGGAAACUUACGCUAAUACCGCAUACGACCUACGGGUGAAAGUGGGGGACCGCAAGGCCUCACGCGAUUGAAUGAGCCGAUGUCGGAUUAGCUAGUUGGCGGGGUAAAGGCCCACCAAGGCGACGAUCCGUAGCUGGUCUGAGAGGAUGAUCAGCCACACUGGAACUGAGACACGGUCCAGACUCCUACGGGAGGCAGCAGUGGGGAAUAUUGGACAAUGGGCGCAAGCCUGAUCCAGCCAUACCGCGUGAGUGAAGAAGGCCCUCGGGUUGUAAAGCUCUUUUGUUGGGAAAGAAAUCCUGUUGGCUAAUACCCGGCGGGGAUGACGGUACCCAAAGAAUAAGCACCGGCUAACUUCGUGCCAGCAGCCGCGGUAAUACGAAGGGUGCAAGCGUUACUCGGAAUUACUGGGCGUAAAGCGUGCGUAGGUGGUUGCUUAAGUCUGUCGUGAAAGCCCUGGGCUCAACCUGGGAAUUGCGAUGGAUACUGGGCGACUAGAGUGUGGUAGAGGGUGGCGGAAUUCCCGGUGUAGCAGUGAAAUGCGUAGAGAUCGGGAGGAACAUCCGUGGCGAAGGCGGCCACCUGGGC